CUCCAGGGAGGCUAUAAAGGGAGCUGCAGGCGGCGCUGCUCGUUCUUUUACUUCGGGAACCUGAGCCAUUACGUUUCUCGGAACAAUGACGACAUCAUUUUCUGGGUCAUCGGAGCAGUUGCGAAGAGAUGCCCAGAUAGAGGGGAGACGUCUAGACCAUCCGAGGGAAUUCGUCAAAGGCAGUAACGUGCUUAAGACCUGACUUUUAAAGUGAAUGCCAGUGCGUGACGAUCCCAGCUCCCUGUACAGUUCCUAGAGCUCCUGGGAGUGCAUGGCCAGUGACACAAUGCUUUACUGGUGUGUGAGAAUUGGAUGUAGUGAACAUCCAGAAAAGGCAGACAAAAGAAGAAAAUGCAGUGCUGGCUAGGUGUUGGAGAUGGGUCUUUACAUAGCUCUGGCUGUCCUCAAACACAUCCAUCUUGGCUCUCGAGUGCUGGGGAUUGUGUGUCAACCAGGCCGGCUAUUAUGAAUAGAGCAUGAGAUACAGAAAGUUGUUUGAAUUGAAUCCAAUAAAUGGAAGCACUCAGUCUCUUAAUCCUAUUGGGUUUAAAAUAUAGAUUGGAUUAAGGCUGGGUUUGGAGUGAACCUUUAGGACUAUGGCAAUGUUUAAGGGAUGUAUGCUAAUGGUUGUCCUGUCCGCACAUGCUCGACAAAACGUAAUUUGAUCCCAAGGCAGUGCCAUCUCUGUUCAUUUUCUUCCCUGGUCUAAAUGGUAAUUCCCAUCCUGAAAAUGGUGGGUGACAUUUUGUGGCAGUGGAGUUCCAUUAUAAUCCACAUUUCCUUGUCCAGCAGUGCUCACUGUAAAUGCUGAAAUAAAGGUUCAGUUGCAACAACUA